rnacentral:rRNA from 1 species
UUCUGGCUCAGGAUGAACGCUAGCGGCAGGCUUAACACAUGCAAGUCGAGGGGCAGCGCGAGGUAGCAAUACUUGGCGGCGACCGGCGAAAGGGUGCGUAACGCGUGAGCAACUUGCCCGUAUCUGGGACAUAAGCGGUGGAAACGCCGUCUAAUUUCCCAUAACAACAGAGGCCGCAUGACAUCUGUUUGAAAGAUCCGUCGGAUACGGAUGGGCUCGCGAGACAUUAGCUAGUCGGCGUGGUAACGGCACACCGAGGCGACGAUGUCUAGGGGUUCUGAGAGGAAGGUCCCCCACACUGGAACUGAGACACGGUCCAGACUCCUACGGGAGGCAGCAGUGAGGAAUAUUGGUCAAUGGGCGCAAGCCUGAACCAGCCAUGCCGCGUGAAAAGGAAUAAGGCCCUAUGGGUCGUAAACUUCUUUUGUGGUGGAGCAAUAAGGUGUACGCGUACACCGAUGAGAGUACAUCACGAAUAAGCAUCGGCUAACUCCGUGCCAGCAGCCGC